rnacentral:rRNA from 1 species
AUUGAACGCUGGCGGCAUGCCUUACACAUGCAAGUCGAACGGUAACAGGUUAAGCUGACGAGUGGCGAACGGGUGAGUAAUACAUCGGAACGUGCCCAGUAGUGGGGGAUAGCCCGGCGAAAGCCGGAUUAAUACCGCAUACGACCUAAGGGUGAAAGGGGGGGAUCGCAAGACCUCUCGCUAUUGGAGCGGCCGAUGUCAGAUUAGCUAGUUGGUGGGGUAAAAGCUCACCAAGGCGACGAUCUGCAGCUGGUCUGAGAGGACGACCAGCCACACUGGGACUGAGACACGGCCCAGACUCCUACGGGAGGCAGCAGUGGGGAAUUUUGGACAAUGGGCGCAAGCCUGAUCCAGCCAUGCCGCGUGCGGGAAGAAGGCCUUCGGGUUGUAAACCGCUUUUGUCAGGGAAGAAAUCCUUUGGGUUAAUACCUCGGGGGGAUGACGGUACCUGAAGAAUAAGCACCGGCUAACUACGUG